rnacentral:lncRNA from 1 species
CAGAGAUGGGUGGGGGCCGGCGUUGGGGAGUUGAGGGCAUGAGUGCAGGUUGGUCUGGGAAUAGCCCCUGGAUGAGCAGAAGCUGGGAGGGCAGUGAUAGGAAACGGUGCUAGGGUGGUGGGGACAGCCUCUGCAGAGGCACUGAGCAGGAAGCCCGCUGCCCUGCUUUCCUGUAGCCGCCUCAGGGGGUUCUGGAAGGCCUGGUCGGACCUGUUGCACAGAGAAUUCCAGCCAGGGAGGGCCGGGCACUUGCCAGCUGACUUGCUUCAGAGCAGCUGUUGGCACUGUCCAUGGGCCCCGCUGCGACCUGGCAAGGGGCCGCUGAGGGUGAGUGGGGAACUGGGAGUGUCCAAAUCCCAUUCUGCCCUUGUGUUUUGGUUUGGGUGUGUGUGUGUGUUUAAGAAGAAACAGCUGCAAGGCCGAGAGAGAGGGGAUGUUUUGAAGGAACUUCUGAUGCUUAUGAACUCAGGGCUGGCCACAGGGAUCUCACAUCCUGUCGGGCCAAGCUGCCUGGUCUGGGGUCAGAGGCAGAACCUGGCUGCCGCCAGGACAGCCCUGCCUCCUAGGCCUCAGGCCUAGGCCAGCAGAAACCCCUCCUUCCUUCUUCCUCUCCGACAAGCUUGCAGCCCUCCUGGCAGAGGGGCCGCAGACCCAGCACGCUCCGCGGGUGUUCCACACACUGCUGGCAGCCCAGCCCCUGGGCAAGCAGGGUCCCCGGACAUAGGCACAGGAUCCUGCCCAGGGAUUUCUGUCUAUGAGAUUGCUUUGUGGGGCCGGCCCUGUGUGCCCUGGGGUCCCCCAGGCUGGACCCUCCUGCCUCACUCCGGUGGCAGCAUGGCAGUGGCAGCAGCCGUCCCUGUCUACUGAACACCAACACCAGCUGUGUCUGGCAUCCCAUCCAGUCCUCGCAGGAGCCCUGCUGUGUAGGGGAGGCUGUACCCAGUUUACAGACAAGAAAACUGAGACUCCAAAAGUCUCUGCCACUUGCUGGGGUGCUGGAGUUGUGGCCAGAAACAGCGGCUGGACUGCAGGGAGCACAGUGUCUGGAGCUGUCAGGGCAGGAGCGGGAACCCAGGCUACUACAGAGACCACCUGGGCUGGAGGGGAAGAGCUGCUGAGGGCAGCUGUGCAGGCUGGGUACUGCGCAAUCGAGGGAGUCCUGCACUUUCAAGGUCACUUCAGACAAGUGUGGAACCCAGGUGGGGCCUGGAGUCGGUGGAAACCAGCCUUGUCUUGGACCACACCAGGGAAAGGAAAUCGCUCCCCGGCGGCCAGACUGUGGGGCCGUCUCCAGCCCGGCUUCAGGAAGACGUUGAGCAAACACAGACCAGACCGGGCUGAGGCCAGCAGCUGGGCAGGGAGCCGCACCAGCCUCAUGCUGUUCCCACAAAGGGCUCCUGUUCCCUGGGCUGGGAGGGUGUCACAGCUUCCUGAGCAGUGUCGUCUCGGCUCCCAGAACUCCUGGUAG